GGUCGGGCCGCUACCACUGUCCGGCCCGGAGGGGACCUGUUUUCUCCGGAAGUGACAACACGCUGACUAGGAAAAGGAGGAGGCGGGGCAGUGGGGCCUUCGGCGGCGACUAUGGAAGGAGCCGGCUAUAGGGUGGUGUUUGAGAAGGGCGGAGUGUACCUGCACACCAGCGCUAAGAAGUAUCAGGACCGAGACUCUCUCAUCGCUGGUGUCAUCCGUGUCGUGGAAAAGGACAAUGACGUCCUCCUGCACUGGGCUCCUGUAGAGGAGGCUGGAGAUUCCACCCAAAUCCUCUUCUCCAAGAAGGACUCCAGUGGGGGUGACUCAUGUGCUUCUGAGGAGGAACCAACUUUUGACCCCGGCUAUGAACCUGACUGGGCUGUCAUCAGCACUGUGCGGCCACAGCCCCGCCACUCAGAACCCACGAGAGGUGCAGAGCCCAGCUGCCCCCAGGGCUCCUGGGCCUUCUCAGUGAGUCUGGGGGAGCUGAAGUCCAUCCGCCGCUCCAAGCCGGGCCUCAGCUGGGCCUACCUGGUUCUGGUGACCCAGGCUGGAGGUUCCCUGCCCGCACUGCACUUCCACCGCGGGGGCACCCGCGCCCUGCUCCGCGUCCUCAGCCGCUACCUGCUGUUGGCCAGCUCCCCGCAGGACUCCCGCCUCUACCUUGUCUUCCCCCACGACUCCUCUGCUCUCUCCAACUCCUUCCACCACCUGCAGCUCUUUGACCAGGACAGCUCCAAUGUGGUGUCUCGCUUCCUCCAGGAUCCCUACUCCACCACCUUCAGCAGCUUCUCCCGAGUGACCAACUUCUUCCGGGGUGCCCUGCAGCCACAGCCUGAGGGAGCUGCCUCCGACCUUCCCCCGCCACCCGACGAUGAACCCGAGCCUGGAUUCGAGGUCAUUUCCUGUGUGGAGCUGGGGCCUCGGCCAACCGUGGAGCGGGGCCCUCCAGUUACAGAGGAGGAGUGGGCACGCCACGUGGGCCCUGAAGGCCGCCUGCAGCAGGUCCCUGAGCUGAAGAACCGGAUCUUCUCGGGGGGUCUGAGCCCCAGCCUGCGGCGCGAGGCCUGGAAGUUCCUCCUGGGGUACCUCAGCUGGGAAGGCACAGCUGAGGAGCACAAGGCCCACAUACGCAAGAAAACGGAUGAGUAUUUCCGCAUGAAGCUGCAGUGGAAAUCUGUGAGCCCUGAGCAGGAGCGGAGAAACUCGCUUCUGCAUGGAUACCGCAGCCUCAUCGAGAGGGAUGUGAGCCGCACUGACAGGACCAACAAGUUCUACGAGGGUCCCGAGAACCCGGGGCUGGGCCUGCUGAACGACAUCCUCCUCACCUACUGCAUGUAUCACUUCGACCUCGGCUACGUCCAGGGCAUGAGUGAUCUUCUCUCCCCGAUCCUCUACGUCAUUCAGAACGAGGUGGAUGCUUUCUGGUGUUUCUGUGGCUUCAUGGAGCUCGUGCAAGGGAACUUUGAAGAGAGCCAGGAGACCAUGAAGCGGCAACUCGGGCGACUGCUGCUGCUCCUGAGGGUGCUGGACCCCCUGCUCUGCGACUUCCUGGGUUCACUUCCAAGAAGUGGAAUUUUGUUGAGGACAGUGCGUGUUUUCACAGCUUUGGAGAGUUUGUCCUCCGUUGUUACUUUCCUAAAAGAUUCCCAGGACUCCGGCUCUCUCUGCUUCUGUUUCCGGUGGCUGCUCAUCUGGUUCAAGAGGGAAUUCCCCUUCCCGGAUGUCCUUCGGCUGUGGGAGGUGCUGUGGACAGGGCUCCCUGGCCCCAAUCUGCACCUGCUGGUGGCCUGCGCCAUCCUGGACAUGGAGAGGGACACCCUCAUGCUGUCCGGCUUCGGCUCCAAUGAGAUCCUCAAGCACGAGGCACAGAGUGGGCGCUCGGGCGGAGGUGGCUGAGUGCCGGCUGGCGCCUGACCCACCCCCUCCCGCAGCACAUCAACGAGCUGACUAUGAAGCUGAGCGUGGAGGACGUGCUUACCCGCGCCGAGGCCCUGCACCGCCAGCUAACCGCCUGCCCCGAGCUGCCCCACAACGUGCAGGAGAUCCUGGGGCUGGCCCCGCCCGCAGAGCCCCACAGCCCCUCGCCCACCGCCUCCCCGCUGCCUCUGUCGCCCACCCGGGCCCCGCCCACCCCGCCGCCCUCCACGGACACAGCCCCGCAGGCCGACAGCAGCCUGGAGAUCCUGCCCGAGGAGGAGGACGAGGGCGCCGACUCCUAACCCCGCCAGGCAGCCUCGUUCUGCACAGGCACUUUAGCCCGAGCCAGGCACACCUGCGAGGGGGCAGGUGUGCUCCGCCGCCCUGCUGAUAAGCUGGCUUCAUUAAACUGACACUUCUCAUGUG